GCUAACUUCGGGCCGGGGGGCUGGGGAAUACGUAGGUGGGAAGCGUGUGCCGGAAUCAGUGGGCGUAAAGCGCGGGCAGGCGGUGCCUUAAGUCUGAUGUGAAAGCCCACGGCUCAACCGUGGAGGGUCAUUGGAAACUGGGGGACUUGAGUGCAGAAGAGGAAAGCGGAAUUCCAAGUGUAGCGGUGAAAUGCGUAGAGAUUUGGAGGAACACCAGUGGCGAAGGCGGCUUUCUGGUCUGUAACUGACGCUGAGGCGCGAAAGCGUGGGGAGCAAACAGGAUUAGAUACCCGAGUAGUC
rnacentral:rRNA from 1 species